CAUGGCAGGAUCCCAUCCCUCACCUGCUUUGUGGCAUCAACAAGUCACUAUCAGCAAGGGUCUCUCUGGCCAGAUUGGGCCCUGGCUGCAGAGGGACACAGGCUUUACAAGUCUGCACGAAGGAAUGCUGGCUGUGAGGGUAACUGAAGUGUGGCAGAAGAAGGAGAGAUGGGAAGAUGGCAGCCAUGUCCCCAGAACUCAUUUUGAGUUGUUGGCUGGAAAGGAACUUCAUCUGUGUUUCGUCGCUAUUCCUUGAGGCUUAGCGCAUAGACUCCUCUGGCUCAGGGAAGCUUUGGCUCUUUCCUCUAAGGAGGCUCCCUGUGAAGAGGGUGAUGCUGUUAUUUCCACCCCGAGUGCUUGGCCCCACGAUUUGGCUCUGGGCUCUGUAACCCAUGGCAACAAGAGAAGGGAAGCAGAUAUACAGCGCUGGAAGUUCUCGGCUGCUGGCUGCUGGGCUCCUGGCACUGAGACGGAAAGAUCCCGAGGUUUGUCAGUGCCG